UUAGAGGCUUUUAUAAUUAUUUUGGCUUGUCAUUAUUAUCUAUUUACUGUGAAAUGUAUUAUUACUUGACGCUUGAGGGAUGCUCCACUGCUAUAAGGAUAGGCGGUGGGGAUGCUAACCGAGUCAUAAUCAAGCUUAGGCUUGGUAUCCUAUUAUUAUUUACCAAAAGAAUUCAGAAUUAAUAUUGUAACAUAGACCUAAAAAAUCUAUAAAACAACUUUUAACAACGGAUCUCUUGGUUCUCGCAUCGAUGAAGAACGUAGCAAAGUGCGAUAACUAAUGUGAAUUGCAUAUUCAGUGAAUCAUCGAGUCUUUGAACGCAACUUGCGCUCAUUGGUAUUCCAAUGAGCACGCCUGUUUCAGUAUCAAAACAAACCCUCUAUCCAACAUUUUGUUGAAUAGGAAUACUGAGAGUCUCUUGAUCUAUUCUGAUCUUGAACCUCUUGAAAUGUACAAAGGCCUGAUCUUGUUUAAAUGCCUGAACUUUUUUUUAAUAUAAAGAGAAGCUCUUGCGGUAAACUGUGCUGGGGCCUCCCAAAUAAUACUUUUUUUAAAUUUGAUCUGAAAUCAGGCGGGAUUACCCGCUGAACUUAAGCAUAUCAAUAAGCGGAGGAAGCCCGGCCCUUUGGAUCCAUCCCUGUGGCUAGUCUAUAUUAUCUAUUUAUGAGGAAUGUCUUAGGACUUGAGCUUGAGGGAUGGUCUCUGCUAUAAGGAUAGGCAGCGGGAACGCUCACGACUAUAAUUAAGCUUACGCUGGUAUCUAUUAUUAUUUACAAAGAAUUCAAAAUUAAUAUGGCACAAACUCUAAAAACACAAUUACUUUUACAAGGAUCUCUGGGUUCCCCUCGAGAAAAAGAAAAAUGCGAACUAAUGGAAUCGUUUUCCUAGGUACACCGGCUUGAGCAACUUGG
rnacentral:rRNA from 1 species